CCCGUACAUUAAUACCAACAACUAAAAAUGUUGACAGUGAAUAGUGAACCUUUACUGCUGUAGAAUGUGAUGACCUUUGAAAGAUGGUGGUGUGUUUUAACACAUGAACUUGAUCUCUGCAUUCAGGGAUCUGUGGAGAACAAGUCCUUUGAAGCCGAAAAUUCACCUUAGAACAUGUAGGCCGCCCGCUGUGGCCGAGCGGUUCUAGGCGCUUCAGUCCGGAACCACGUAGCUGCUAUGGUCGCAGGUU